ACUGCAAGAUGCCGCCCGGGCCACCGCCGAGACACGGCCACGGCUGGCCGGAGCCUCACCCCGCCGGGACGGGCUGGAGCCGGGGCUGGAACCCCUCCCCACCGGCUCCAGGAACCGGGACGGGGCUGGAACCGAAAGCCGGGCGGGGGACGGGGCUUCACUCCGCGGGUCCCGGAGCCUGGACGCGGCUGGAGCCGAGAACCGGGAUGGGGCCGAUUCCUCAUCCCGCGGCUCCGGGAACCGGGACGGGGUUGGAGCAUCACCCCGCCGGGAGCCGGCACCCCCGGAGAGGGGAUUUGCCACGUCGCCCUGCACGACCAGGGAGGGGAGACGAGGAGAACGGAGCUAACGGAGCGGCUGCUGCCUCCGGGGACCCCGCACAGGCAGCUGGAAACAAUUAGUUGCCACGAGGUGAACUGUUGCCUUGCAAAAUCUUCGUCACCCCAACAGAAGCAGAAAGCAAAAUAAUCCGAAAACACAACUGGACGCAAGCGGCAGCCCCAAGGCUGCGGCUGUCACAAGGGUACGGUGACAACGGGGCCACGUGUCGGUGACAGCCACCACAUCCGAGCUUCGAGGAAGCAGCAGUAUCUGGUCCUCGGGUCCGGAAACGCCGACGGGGUUUCAGAAGCUGCUGAGGGUUUUUUCUUGGAGCUGAGAUAACCCCAAGUGAGGGAAGGGCCAGGAUCGGGGACCUGGUGGAGGAACGAUGGGGAUUUGGGGUUGGAGAAGAGCUGGGAGCCGCCCGAUGGGGACAGCAGUGACAGCCCCGCAACGGCAGCAGAUCCACUGCGGUUUAUGUGCAUCACGCAUGUCCUUAUCACCCACGGGUGGCCCUUAGCAACUGCACACAGAUAAACAUUGGUGCUGAGGAUGAUGGGGACGGGGGAGGAAGGACGCUGGGGUUAAAAAUGAGCCGUGCUCACACAAUAACCCCCUUUCUCCCCCCAAGUGCCAAGAGAUUAUCUCCAUUUUCCACCGUGAGCUGUCACAGGAGUCUCAGCAGCACCAGCAGUGGGAGGACCCCGGGGUGGGCACCCAAAGACACAGUGGGUGACACCAGCCCCGGGUGACUCACGGGGACCCCGUGCCAGCGCGUGAGGCCCUUUCGCACCGGCUGAGAACCAGGCUCCUCCUCAUCUCACACACACUCAUCCCCCGCCCUCCUUUUAGUGACCAAAAAAAUGUCACAUCCCCGAGUCAUGGGACAAGCGAGCGCGGGCAGGGGGACAGACGGACAGACAGAGGGACAGCAUCGCACUCGGGUUAAUAAUCCACCCUGUGUGACAAAUGGCCAGAGCAGCAGCCACCUCUUUUUUUUUGGCAGGGAAGUGGCUUUUUCCCCUCCUCCCCUCCCAAACCUGCCGAAAUCCCUGAGUCACGGGGCAGAAAUAGAGACAACACCCAGAGCGGCCGCGGGUGACAGGGGUGGCAGCAGCACCCCCUGUGCCGCACCGUGACCAACGCUAAUGAGGCGAAAUUUGGAAUGCAGGGGACCUAGUUGUUCCUCUCCCAGUUGCAAACUGGGACUGGUGGCACUGUCACCGCUCCUGUACUGCCCAUGGGCUGCUGUCCCCAUCUCUCCACAGCCAUAUCCAAGCCCUGGGGUUGUCAUCUGGGGAGGCCAUGGGCAUCCCGGAGGUCCCCAGGUCUGCUGGCCCCCAGCACGGGGGUGCAGGGAUGCAGGCAGAGGGGAUGCAGGAUGCGCCCAGCUCCAAAGGGCAUGGACCAGCCACCAGUGCCACCCCAACCUGCAGCCACAUCUCCUGGUAUCCCAGGUCACAGCAUCCCCAGCGCACCCAGGGAGCUUGGGGGACACUGGUCAGGCAGCUUUGGCUUCAGCAAUUCCCCCUUUUCCCAGCCGCCACGGGAGCCGCAGCAGAACCCGACCCAACAGCUCAUUUUGGGAGGCUUUUUCCAGCACCAAACAGGGGGGUAAAACCUGCAGCACACGCAAAGUCCCCCCAGCUGCAUCAGGGGGCCAUCCCUGGGCUGCAAACGGUGUCUGCAGAGAAAGUUAUUUCCAACAAGAAAGCGCAGCGAGCUCUUAAUCAGUUCCUUGCCCGGUGACUCACCACAGGCCAGGACGCUCUCCCCGGGUGCUGCAGCGGGGCCGGCACCGCAGGGCCCCCCCGGCACGACCGGGCUGCAGCGGUGCGUGCCCAGGCUGGAAAUCCCCGUGGGAAGAUCCCAGGCUGGUUCCUUGUGAAGCGGAGGAAUGCGGGUGGCAGGCGCUGUCCCCCCCCAGGCCCGCUGCCAGCACCGGGGACUCGGGAUGUCACAAGCAGGCGGCAGGAUGGGGCUGGAGCCUUCAUCCCACAGCAAGACCCCUGCUUCCUCCUCUCCAUCCCUCUGCACCGCCUGCUCCAAACCGGGACGCUCCAUCCUGCUCCGGACCCCUCGGUCCAGCCCACAUCACCCCAUGUUUUGGGUCCCCCAUCAACAACCCCCUCCCCACAGGGUGGACACCCACAGGGGGCGAGCGCUGCCCGGACCCGGGCACCGGGGAGUCGGUGGCUGGGCUGGGGAGGGAACUGCAGGGUCAGGCUGCGUCCGGCAUCGCGGAGAAAUUCCCUGCUUAGAGUUAUCACAACCCGGGUCCAGCCGUUCUCCACUGCGAUGGCUUCCGGGGGUUGACCUGCCACCCCCUGCAUGCUGGGGGUCCCUGUGCUGGGGUAAAGCUCAGCCCCUUAGCUCGGGGAAGGGUCACCAGUGCCAAGCAGCGAGGGGGGAUAGGGGAUGGGUUAUGGCCCCACAUGGGUGACCAGCGCAUCCCCAGCCCUGGCAGCCAGGGCUGAGUCACGCCAGGCUCCGGCUCCACUCCUCCCUGCACCGAGGAAUGUGGCAAGAACCGGAGCCAAAACCUUCCUGGAUGGCUGCCACCAGCACCCCCCGAGGCUGGGGGGGAUGUGGGGGGACAGGAGGUGCCACCAACAGCCCCUCGGCUGCAGCGGUGCCGCCCCACAGCACCCCCACGUGCCCAUGCUCCAGGAUGCUGCACCCAUGGGUGCUCAGGGCCCCCCAGCACACCCUGAACCAGGGUGCUGGAGUGGGGGGGGGGGUCACAGCCCUCAGUGUGCCCCAUCCCCUGCUCAGCCCCACACAGGGAGCGCCCCCUCACCUCGGCGUCACCUGGUGCUCGCGGCACGGUGCCGUGUGGGUGCAGCCCUGGCACCCCCAGCUCAGCCUGACUGGAGCCAAACGGGUGCCGACACACGGGGGGGGUCGGGGGCUGCGCCGGGAGCAGCUGGACACAGGGUGGGGGGGACACGGCUCAGUGCCAGGAUGGGCAAAGGGCUUGGGAGUGCUCCCAGGGAGCCUCGUCCGGCACCUCUGUUUGGGGACAGGUGGCACCACCCCAAGGGGUCUCUGGAUGUCACCAGGGUCGGGCACAAUCACCUGCCAAACCCUCACCAUGAUGCCACAGCCCUCGGAGUGCUGCGAUCGAUGGAGAGAGCAUCACCCCGACCUCAUAUCUGGGUGGCUAAAUCCCCCCUUUGCCCCCCAAAUUGGGCACCUGCACCCCACGCAGGUCUGUCCCCAGGGUGGCACCCCCAUGGCACCCACAAACACGGGGCUGAAUGGGGUGUUCUGAGCCACCAACUCCAAGUGAUGGCGAUGCUGCUGGGGAGUCGCGAGGGGGGUCCAGGGCCACCCCGGCCACGAACAGAGGAUCCGUUUGUCCUCCCCCCGGGGCCGGUUGUUUAUCUGCAGCCGGAGCUGUUGACAUCAGCGACUGGCCCCGAUCUCCGCCACCGACACACAGACAUGGGGCCCCCGUCCCCGGCUGCACCCCCGGGUCCCCAGGUGCCACCGGGGCUCUGCCGGGGAAGGAGUGGACACAUAGGGCACCGCUUGCCAGGGAAGGAGCCUUUGCCUCCCGAAAGGAAGCGGCUCCUGCCAGGAAUUCAAGGCAUUACUCAGCUCAAUCAGCUGUUUGCCCGCGCAGACCCUGGCUUUCACUGGCAGCUGAGGUUUUAGCACCGUAAAGCUGCUUCUUUCCUCCUGCUCACGGCUCCAGGAUAGUCCCUGAGAGCCUGAGCCCUGCCUGGGGGGACGGGGAGCCCAUGGCAGGGACGGGGAGCUGGUGGUGGUUUAACCCUGAUGAGAUCCCUGUAGCUCCACAUGUCGAUCCAGCCCUUUCCAUAGAAUCACUGAAUCAUUUUUGUUGGAAAAGCCCCUCAAGCUCAUUGAAUCCAACCAUAACCCAGCCCUGUCCCUGCUCCAUGUCCUGAGAACCUCAUGUCUGUCUGUCCAGCCCUCCAGGGAUGGUGACUCCAGCACUGCCCUGGGCAGCCUGUUCCAAUGCCCAACAGCCCUUUGGGGAAGAAAUUGUUCCUAAAUCCAACCUCACCCUCCCCUGGCACAACUUGAGUCCGUUUCCUCUGCUCCUGGCGCUUGUUCCUGGGGAGCAGAGCCCGACCCCCCCUGGCUCCAAGCUCCUUUCAGGCAGUUCAGAGAGCAACGAGGUCUCUACAGCAUGAAGCAUCUGCUGCCCUUUCUGUAGGGUCCCUUCAUCAUCAUCAUCGCACAAAUCUGCUUUCAGAUCUUCUAGCUAAUGAACGCUGUUUUCAACACCCCAUUGGAACAGCCCCAGCUUUGGGGUGACCCGGAUCGCCCUCCUCCCUGCCGAUAUCACUACAUUUGCCCGGCCGCUGGCUCGUGCACCUACGCCAAGAGCAUUGUAUCAUCGCCGGGACAGCACAAACAACCUUCAGCCGCCACCAGAAAAACACAGGCUGAUGCAUCUUGGCAUGAGCUGCUGCGCCUCCGCCCAGCCUCCCGCCCGGCAGCCCUCCGGCCCGCGGGACCGCCGGCAAAGCCGCCCCCGGCCCCUUCCAACCUCCCGCAGCAACGCGCUGUCACAACGGGGAGGGCAGGAACGGUACCCGGCGAGGAUGGAGAGCGCAAAACCACGAUGAGGAACCCAAAAGGGUGUCUGUGGCCCCAGAGAGUAGGUGAUGCUUGUGCGGGAGCACUCGCCUGGACACUGAGUUUGGGUCAUGUUCCAUGUCCUUGCAUGGGGAGGAUGCAGGAUGGGGACCAGGAUGGGACCGCGAUGCAGGAUGAGGACCGUGAUGAGACCAGGACCGGGAUGCUGAGCGGCUCCAAGUCAGGGAGAUAGCCAGCAGCCCCCAGCACCAUUCCUCCCAUCCCAAGCAACAGGAUGGAUUUAGGAUCCUCAAAGAUCUUGGAAAGACUCAAAUUUAGAGUCUGACAUGAUCCAGGCAAGUCCCAGCUCAACAAGGAGACCCAGGGUCCAUCUAUCCCCAAGCCCCCUAUCACCCAUGGGGAAGGGGCAAUGCCACGGGCCAAUCUGCUGCUGCCAACCCCCCCAUUGGCACUCAUAAUUAAGUCUAAUCCCCUGGAAUUUCAUCCCGCAGCCACUGCUGUCGCAUCUGGAGGCUGCUGCGGUCUGCCUGUAGCUGUGCUUCAUUUCCAAGCAACCACAAAGAGUUUUCCAUCCUCUUUUGAUUAGCGUGGCGGUUCCCACCCCACAGCCCUCCGCCAGUUUGUCCCCAGUGGGACUGGCAGCUCCACGCUCAGCUGGGGACCUCGGCCAUGGGGUUCCCAAGGGUCCCCAAGCAUCCCUGAGCUGUUCAAAUUCAUGCUGACCCCUUGGUAUAGCUGUGCCGUUGGCUGGGGACAGAGCCUGGGGAUGUGCCUCCUUCCAGCAAGCGAUCCUGCUUCCCAGAAAACAACCCCGGGAUGGGAAUCGGCAGCUGCCCCAUGGCCUCUCAAGCCAAGGGCUGCACAGCCAAGCUGGAGGCUACGCCGGGCUCUUAUGGCCCAAAAACCAGGGUUUGCUCAGCACAAUGCUGGUGGCACCGCUCUGUAGCUCAGUGACUGUCCCCAGGGGUGAGGGAACCCCGUCACCCCUCCUUGAGGAGCAGCAGCUGCAGAGUGGACACUGUCCCUUGUCCUUGCUCCCUGGUGGGGUGACAAACCCCUCCAAGGGCUCCUGGCCCCCAGGUCCUGGCCACCCAACAUGUCCCUCCUGCUGUCCCCAUGUCCUCAAGCGCUGUCCCCACUCAUGGCGCUGCAGCAACAGCGGUUCAGCCACAUCUGGGGCUGAUUUUCCACGUGAAGCCACAUUCUACUCCAGGAUGCAGAAGCCGCCGCGGGAAACCCCACGGGAGCGCAGGGAACAGCCCAAGGGCUGGAGCAGGAGGUGGGCGCCCGAGUGGGGUACGCGGAGCUGGGGGGCAGAGGCAGGAGAAACCUCCCCCCAAGACCCCACCAAGAACCGUUUUGCCGCAGCCCUGGGGACGAGAUUACACGGAGCUGGAAGCACGUCCUGCUGCGAGCCCAGCGCUCCAUGACCUCACCACCACGUGCCUCCGAUGAGGAAGGAAGAGAGGAAACUUAUCUCUUUGGGGUUUUUUUAAAGAAUAACCUUUGCUCAAGCUUUUCCUCGGGGAGAGAGUGUGACCCGUGGCCAGCACCACUCACCCUUUCCACGACAGCGAGCGUCACCCACGUGCUGCUCCGCUCCCGCAUCCCCCACGGGGACAGACAUGGGAACGGACAUGGGGACAUUGCUCCCAAGCAUCCCACAUCUGCCCUGUCUCUGUCACAGCCACCCCAGGUCCUCACCGUGCACCCAUGGGUGCUGCACCCCCACCCAUUGCACAUCCUCGGUGCCUCAGGACCGAGCUCGAGCGGCUUCGCAAGGCAGCGGCCGGCAUUGGGAAACGAGAGCAGGGGAAGUUGUGCCCGAGUUAAUAAACACAUCGAAACCGUUUGUGGUUUCCGGGUGGGUCACGUCCUCCCUGUCCCACCCCCGUGGCAAUGGCCCCCGGGGCUCCUGGACAGUAGAACCCCCAGCCCACCCCACGGCUCAUGCUGAAGGGAAAUGCCAAUUAAAAAAAGAAGGGAAAUAUUAAUUCCUCCCAGCAAUGGUGGCUCAGCGCUUGGGUGGAACCCACCUGCACCCCCAAAAACCACACCUGCUCACAGCAGGGACCUCUCAGUUACCCAAAGCUGGUGGAAAAAAGGUGAUGAAGGACAGGAGCCGGGAUCAGCUCCCCGAGGAAAGCCCAAAGCGCUGUGAGCUGCUGAUUCCUCCUCGCUGAG